CCGACCUGAACUCAGACUU
rnacentral:rRNA from 1 species